CGAGAGUGCAUCAGCAUCCACGUGGGUCAGGCAGGCGUCCAGAUGGGCAACGCCUGCUGGGAACUCUACUGCCUCGAGCAUGGCAUUCACCCCGACGGCAUGAUGCCCGAGACCGAAGUCGAGGACGACUCCUACAACACCUUCUUCAGCGAGACCAAACUGGGAAAACACGUCCCCAGGGCUGUGUUCGUCGAUCUGGAGCCCACGGUGGUUGACGAAGUGAGAACGGGAACUUACAGGGAACUUUUCUCUCCCCGUACACUUAUUACGGGAAAGGAAGACGCGGCCAAUAACUACGCCAGAGGACACUACACUGUCGGCAAGGAACAGCUGGAGGUCGUCCUCGACUGCAUCAGGAAACUCCAGGAACAGUGCGUAGGAUUCCAAGGAUUCCUGGUCUUCCACUCCUUCGGUGGCGGAACAGGCUCGGGCUUCGCGUCCCUCCUGCUGGAGCAGCUCUCCGUCGAGCAUGGCAAGAAGUCCAAACUGUGCUUCUCCAUCUACCCCGCUCCACAGGUAUCCACAGCUGUUGUCGAACCAUACAACUCCAUCCUCUUCACCCACACGACCUUAGAGCACUGUGAAGUUGGUUUCAUGGUAGACAACGAGGCUAUCUACGACCUGUGCCGAAAGGAACUUAACAUCACCAGACCAACUUACACCAAUCUGAACCGCUUAAUUGGCCAAGUUGUGUCCAGCAUCACAGCAUCCCUGAGGUUUGACGGCGCCCUGAACGUCGACUUGACCGAAUUCCAGACUAACUUGGUGCCGUAUCCCAGGAUUCAUUUCCCGCUGGCAACGUACGCCCCUGUGGUCUCUGCUGAUAAGGCUCAGCACGAUGAUUUCAACGUGAAGGUCAUUACGGCUAAAUGUUUUGAGCCUUCGCACCAGAUGGUAAAAUGCGACCCUCAGCUGGGCAAGUACAUGGCCUGCUGCCUGCUGUUCCGCGGUGACGUCGUACCGAAGGAUGUGAACCAAGCCAUCAGCGAAAUGAGGAACAAGAGAACCAUUUCCUUCGUCGACUGGUGUCCUACGGGAUUCAAGGUCGGCAUCAACUACCAGCCUCCGACGGUCGUCCCCGGUGGAGACUUGGCCAAGGUCGACCGCGCCGUCUGUGUUCUCUCCAACACUACCGCCAUCAGAUCAGCGUGGGAGAGGAUCGACCACAAAUUCGACCUGAUGUUUACCAAGCGCGCGUUCGUCCACUGGUACGUCGGCGAAGGCAUGGAGGAAGGAGAGUUCGCCGAGGCCCGGGAAGACCUGGCGGCCCUUGAAAUGGACUACGGCGAGGUCGAGGCGUCGGCCAGUUAUGACUACGAAGACGAGGAAGAGGGUUACUUCAACGAAUACUGAGGGGACCCCCUUCACCUCCCCUCCCCUCCUUCCCCCAAGGCUUGCCUCUGCCGCCCGACUUCGGAGAGUUCUCCGAAGCACGAGAGGAUCUGGCAGCACUGGAGAUGGAUUACAACGAAGUCGAACAGAAUCCACUCAGUGAAGCCGAAGAAGAAGAUUACUAGAACACACGCC
rnacentral:misc_RNA from 1 species